UUUAUACAGUAAAAGAAAAUUUCCUUACCCUCCUCUCGUGAAAACAAUGAAAACAGGGUGUGUUUAGGUGCGCAAAUCUCAGAUAUUAUAAGAUUUUAGUGUUUAUAAAAAAUAUGUUCUUAUAAUUGAUAUACUCUAUUUUGCGAAACUUAUUUCUAUAGGUCCGAAAUCCUAUACAAAACUAAGAAAAUAAAUAAACUGUUCUCUUAAAAAAAACACGAUUUUCGUGGUCUUCGUAAUUCUUUAGCGGCAAGUAAUAGGGUUCAUUUUUCAACUGUCUUAUCCCGUACUGUUACAAUGAAUUUUCAAAAAUCAAAUCAGUCUGCGCCACGGCGCCUUUGUGGGUGGACCUGUGUCGGUUUUUCUCCGCCGCUCAAAGUGAAAACAUCGCUGUACAGAUACGAAUAGUUAUUUCCUUGCUCUUGAGACUUGAAUCUUCAUUGAUUACGAAAAAUAUGGGACGGUAUAAGAAGUUUGGAGUAACUCGAAAAAUGAUUAAUGCAAAUAGACGUAAUGCGCAAAUACGUAGAACGGUCAUAAUCGCGAGUAACCAAAAAAACACCCAGUCUGAUGAAAUAGAUAUUCAGGAACAACUUUGUUUAUCUGGAGACACUAACAAUUUCGACGAAAAAGAGAACAACCAAGAAACAAAUAAAAUAAAACCUCCGGAUGAACCUUGUUCAUCUAAAGUUAGCUAUGAAAUAUCUUAUGUAAAUAUAUUUAUGUAACUAUUUUUAAAACUAUUGAUUUACUAUAAAUACAAUUU